CGCAAGCACAGACUGGAAUAUGUACCGGGAUUCAUCCGAUAACAUUGAGUAGUUCAUCACAUCAGUCACAGGCUUCAUUAAUAAGUGCAUCGACGAAGUGGUCCCCACAGUGACCUUAAGGACAUAUCCCAACCAAAAGCCAUGGAUUACAGGGCCUUGUCUCCAGUCUAGCCUGGGAGAAUGUGGAGGAAAUGGACAAGUAGCUGCAUCCAGGCCCGGCGGCAGGAUUAACUCUGCAAGGGGGCAUGAGAAAUGACUACGGGGGCACAACUAUCUUCGCUUGCUGACACCACACGAUGGAUAAUAAUUAAUAGGUCAAUUACGCACAUUGUAUUUGCAGCCACGCACGGCUGUCUUGACGCAAGAAUACAGGCUACUGCACCGCUUUACAAACAUGGACAAUUAAUAAUAUCACGACUUCCGCCGAAGUCGGCCCCUCUCCUUGUUCAGGUGGUGUUCGGCGGUCGACGUCACCGGCUUUCUAGUCACCACGAUCCAUGUU